UAUGUCAGGUGUGAAACCUUGAGGCUCAACCUCAAGUCUAUGCCUGAACUGACAAGCUAGAGCAUGAGAGGGGUACCUGGAAUUCCCGGUGUAGGAGUGAAAUCCGUAGAUAUCGGGAGGAACACCAAUGGCGUAGGCAGGGUACUGGCUCAUUGCUGACGCUCAGGCACGAAAGCGUGGGAGCGAACGGGAUUAGAUACCCCGGUAGUCCACGCCGUAAACGAUGAAUGCUA
rnacentral:rRNA from 1 species